GAUGGCAUCACCAAUUCAAUGGAUAUGAGUUUGAGCUAACUCCAGGAGAUGGUGAAGGACAGGGAAGCCUGGUGUGCUUUAGUCCAUGGGGUCACAAAGAGUUGGACACAACUGAGCAACUGUUCAACAACCCUAGGGGCUCAGUGCCAAGCACUGAGCUCAGGACAAGCCCCUCCAUCAAUAGAAGCAGAUGAUGGAGGUGACCGUCAUCCAUAGAGGCUGCCAUGAGCUUGGCCACUUCCCAUGUGAUCACUUGGUAAUCUUCACCACAGUCUUAUGAAACAGGCAUCGGAUUCCUGCCUGAGGAAUCAGAUGUGUAAGCAACCUUCCCCUGGGGGUGGGAGAAUCAGGCUUCACGCCCAGAUUCCAAGGCUGGCCUGCCUGCCUCUCCAGACCCUGAGGCUUUCUCAGAGAAACCAAGACCUGGGCAGAUGACCAAGGCAAGGACUCAGCCUCGGGGAAGGGGUGGUGGUAGUUCGGGAUGGAUUCCUGAAACUGGAGGAUAAACUUGAAGGAACGAGGCAAGAAGCCAGUUUACAGACCUAGGGGUCAAGAAGCGCAUUGCUAGCUGGACGGUUGGGCUGGGAGGUCUGGGCCCUGGAGUCCACCUGUCACUUAGACACAGUCCUGAGCAAACCCAGCCCCUGUUACUUGUGGGGUCUGGAAUGUGGCAGUCCUCCGGCCUUCUCACCGGAUGUUGCAUGCUGAGUCAACUGCCGUUUCAGCUCACUUUAGCAGACAACAGCUGGUCACCCAGCUGGGUGUUCACCUGAGGUCACGGUUCACAGAGUUACAAACAGUAGGGGCGGGGGAAGGGGGGAGGGUUGAGGGAGGGGAGUAGACUGCCUGGCUCUUGAUCCUGCCUCCCUCACUUAGCACAGCGUCAGCUUGGGCAUGGCUACCCACUCCAGUAUUCUUGCCUGGAGAAUUCCAUGGACAGAGGAGACUGGUGGGCUACAGUCCAUAGGGUCACAAAGAGUCGGACACGACUGAAGUGACUUAGCAGUCGUGACCCAUAGCUUGGGCAGGUCAGUAAGCCUCUGCGGGCCUUAGUUUCCCUAUCUUUACAAUGGGCUAUUUGAUGAAGUGGGUCAGUCCACACAAACACGGGAGAGCAAUGCCUGGCACACAGUAGGUGCUCAGAAAGGGGUGGUCAUCCUUGAUUUCUGCACACGGUGGCCACAGCAGAGGGAGUGCUCCCCUGAAAGGACCUCUCCGGGACUUUAUCCAGGCUGGGGACACACUACCUUCUGAGUCAGGCUGUUCCAUUUUUGGACAACUCUGACUAAGAAAAUUCUUCCUUGCUUCCAGCCAAGUCCACCUCCCCACAACUCCCACACACUGGCCCCAGCUCUGCCAGAAGGCAAAUGUCAGAAAAAUAUUCUUGAAAGAGAGGACAUAGAAUGCCACAGCGCAUUGCUAACUGCUGUGAAACCAAGCAACAAGUCACUCCUCAGGAACAAAGGUGACGGCCACCAGGCCGCGGAGCCUUGACCUCAUCUCAUUUCCUACGUGCCGUCCACCCCGUAAUCAUUGUACCUCCAGGGAGCAUGCCCGCCAAGCAGCGCGUGCUGUCGGCCUCCUGUUUACAGAGCUUUUCUGGCGUCAGGUCAGACCUUCACCCCUUGACGUUGGGUGGGUAAACAAAACACUUAGAGUCCCCAGGCCCCAUCCUGACCUGCCCUCACCCCACCUCUGGGACCAGCUUCUGGAGUGGACGCCUCCCCACAGGUGGGCUCUGAGCACAGCCAUCUCCUGCUUCUCCAGCUACUUCUUGCCUGUCUUUAACCUGGCUGCCUUUCCCCUCCCUCCUCCCUGCACUUGGACACGUCCAAAGGUUCUGGCCUUGGACCUCCCUCCCCCUCCCUCCUAGGUCAUGACCACUCCUAGUUUACUGAGGGCACGAACUCCUGCCUGAAUCAACAAGGGGCACUGACUCAGCGCGUGGGCAUCCAUCCGGGCACUGGAGCCUCUCUCUACCCCGAAGCCUUGACUCUACCACCUCCAUGCACCCGCCCCACCCCCCCACAGCUCUGAGGACCCCUGCUAUUCACUGAACCUCCUCCCUGGGCCCUCCUACUCCUGGUCCCAAUCACAGGAAGUCCUCACGAGACACAGAGCCUGGUGCCUCAUCAGCUGAGACCUGCUGCUGCUGCUAAGUCGCUGCUGCUAAGUGUCCGACUCUGUGCGACCCCUGAGACGGCAUCCCACCAGGCUCCCCUGUCCCUGGGAUUCUCCAGGCAAGAACACUGGAGUGGGUUGCCG